GCUAAGCAUCCAUGGCUGAAUGGUUAAAGCACCCAACUCAUAAUUGGCGAAUUAGUAGGUUCAAUUCCUACCGGAUGCACGC
rnacentral:tRNA from 1 species